CAUGCAGUCGAGCGGGGAAGUGUAGCCUUUGCGUACAUUACCUAGCGGCGGACGGGUGAGUAAUGCUUAGGAAUCUGCCUAUUAGUGGGGGACAACAUUCCGAAAGGAAUGCUAAUACCGCAUACGUCCUACGGGAGAAAGCAGGGGAUCUUCGGACCUUGCGCUAAUAGAUGAGCCUAAGUCGGAUUAGCUAGUUGGUGGGGUAAAGGCCUACCAAGGCGACGAUCUGUAGCGGGUCUGAGAGGAUGAUCCGCCACACUGGGACUGAGACACGGCCCAGACUCCUACGGGAGGCAGCAGUGGGGAAUAUUGGACAAUGGGCGGAAGCCUGAUCCAGCCAUGCCGCGUGUGUGAAGAAGGCCUUUUGGUUGUAAAGCACUUUAAGCGAGGAGGAGGCUACUCUAGUUAAUACCUAGAGAUAGUGGACGUUACUCGCAGAAUAAGCACCGGCUAACUCUGUGCCAGCAGCCGCGGUAAUACAGAGGGUGCGAGCGUUAAUCGGAUUUACUGGGCGUAAAGCGUGCGUAGGCGGCUGAUUAAGUCGGAUGUGAAAUCCCUGAGCUUAACUUAGGAAUUGCAUUCGAUACUGGUCAGCUAGAGUAUGGGAGAGGAUGGUAGAAUUCCAGGUGUAGCGGUGAAAUGCGUAGAGAUCUGGAGGAAUACCGAUGGCGAAGGCAGCCAUCUGGCCUAAUACUGACGCUGAGGUACGAAAGCAUGGGGAGCAAACAGGAUUAGAUACCCUGGUAGUCCAUGCCGUAAACGAUGUCUACUAGCCGUUGGGGCCUUUGAGGCUUUAGUGGCGCAGCUAACGCGAUAAGUAGACCGCCUGGGGAGUACGGUCGCAAGACUAAAACUCAAAUGAAUUGACGGGGGCCCGCACAAGCGGUGGAGCAUGUGGUUUAAUUCGAUGCAACGCGAAGAACCUUACCUGGUCUUGACAUAGUAAGAACUUUCCAGAGAUGGAUUGGUGCCUUCGGGACUACAUACAGGUGCUGCAUGG
rnacentral:rRNA from 1 species